rnacentral:rRNA from 1 species
GAUGAACGCUGGCGGCGUGCCUAAUACAUGCAAGUCGAGCGAACAGACGAGGAUCUUGCUCCUCUGACGUUAGCGGCGGACGGGUGAGUAACACGUGGAUAACCUACCUAUAAGACUGGGAUAACUUCGGGAAACCGGAGCUAAUACCGGAUAAUAUAUUGAACCGCAUGGUUCAAUAGUGAAAGACGGUUUUGCGGUCACUUAUAGAUGGAUCCGCGCCGCAUUAGCUAGUUGGUAAGGUAACGGCUUACCAAGGCGACGAUGCGUAGCCGACCUGAGAGGGUGAUCGGCCACACUGGAAGUGAGACACGGUCCAGACUCCUACGGGAGGCAGCAGUAGGGAAUCUUCCGCAAUGGGCGAAAGCCUGACGGAGCAACGCCGCGUGAGUGAUGAAGGUCUUCGGAUCGUAAAACUCUGUUAUUAGGGAAGAACAAAUGUGUAAGUAACUAUGCACGUCUUGACGGUACCUAAUCAGAAAGCCACGGCUAACUACGUG